UGGUUGAAUCUUUAUGCAACAAGAUCCAAAAUGAGAUGGGGCUGGUGAUGAUUUGUUUAAAGAGCUAUGGAGGCUGUGUGUAGGGCCAUUAAUGGAUGUUCCUUGUGUUCAAGACAGAGUUUUCUAUUUCCCUCAGGGUCACAUUGAAUUGUUGCCAGAACCUACAGAACAAGAUUUGAGGCAGAUGAAGAACCAGAAAUCUCCCAAAUACGAUCUUCCGUCGAAGAUCUUAUGUCGUGUUAUCGAUGUUAAGUGUCUGGUAAUGUUUAUCUUUUUUUGG